UUCUCCUCGUGCGGACGCUUUCAUCUCCUACCAUCGAACCAGCGGACCAGGGAAGAAACCCCCACCUGCUCGUCAACGAACAGUUCACCGGAGACUCAAAGAACAUCACCCCUAUAAGAAUCAUAAUCAUCCAAUCCUUUUUCUGUAAGACUUUACGACUCAGGUUGCCAGCUAAAUAUUGUGUGGGUAAAUUAGCACGGUGCUCGACCAAACUAAUCCCUAAACCGGCCGACGACACACUCAGAUGGGUAAAAAGAAACUAGUUGAGACGCGAUGCUCACCCUGCUACAUUAACAACUUAUUUACCUAUUUCGAACGACAUAAUGAGUAGGCUAAGUUAGCGGAGAUUGAGGCCAUUGGAUUUGACUACUUGCGCCGGGUACCACAAUGGCAUGUGAAGCAAAGCAUCAUGCUCCAAUUAGCCAGGGCCUUUGACGUGGAGACAAACACUCUGAGGGUCGACACCGGGGAUAUUCGCAUUACCGCCGAACUUAUCGGCAAUGUAUUCGGCAUACCUUCGCAAGGUGACCCAAUACCGGUAUAUUAGAAAAAAAUGAAUCGUAUUUGGCAAUAAAGAUGGAAUUUCAGAAGAAAACUACAACCCAGUUGCGGGACUUUCUCUUUGCCUGUCCGAUGGAGACUGAGCAAGAAAGGCUGAGCUUUAGAAGAUAUUUUAUCAUGAUUGUUUUGAAGAUGUUUCUUAACCCUACAAGCCAGCAGACUGUUUCUCCAUGGCACCUCCCUCCGAUAUUGGACGUAUCUAACCCAAGAAGAUUUCACUGGCCAUAUCAGAUAUUAAAGUGGCUGCGAGAUGCGAUUCGGAAAUUCCAAGACGAGAACCGGGAAACAUGCGGCGGGUGCA